UACGGAGGGUGCAAGCGUUAUCCGGAUUCACUGGGUUUAAAGGGUGCGUAGGUGGGUUUGUAAGUCAGUGGUGAAAUCCCGAAGCUUAACUUCGGAACUGCCAUUGAUACUAUAAGUCUUGAAUAUUGUGGAGGUGAGCGGAAUAUGUCAUGUAGCGGUGAAAUGCUUAGAUAUGACAGAGAACACCAAUUGCGUAGGCAGCUCACUAGUCAUAUAUUGACACUGAGGCACGAAAGCGUGGGGAUCAAACAGG
rnacentral:rRNA from 1 species